GGGUGAGUAACGCGUAUCCAACCUGCCCGCCACUUGGGGAUAACCUUGCGAAAGUAAGACUAAUACCCAAUGAUAUCUCUAGAAGGCAUCUGAAAGAGAUUAAAGAUUUAUCGGUGAUGGAUGGGGAUGCGUCUGAUUAGCUUGUUGGCGGGGUAACGGCCCACCAAGGCAACGAUCAGUAGGGGUUCUGAGAGGAAGGUCCCCCACAUUGGAACUGAGACACGGUCCAAACUCCUACGGGAGGCAGCAGUGAGGAAUAUUGGUCAAUGGACGAGAGUCUGAACCAGCCAAGUAGCGUGCAGGAAGACGGCCCUAUGGGUUGUAAACUGCUUUUAUAAGGGAAUAAAGUGAGUCUCGUGAGACUUUUUGCAUGUACCUUAUGAAUAAGGACCGGCUAAUUCCGUGCCAGCAGCCGCGGUAAUACGGAAGGUCCGGGCGUUAUCCGGAUUUAUUGGGUUUAAAGGGAGCGUAGGCCGGAGAUUAAGCGUGUUGUGAAAUGUAGAUGCUCAACAUCUGAACUGCAGCGCGAACUGGUUUCCUUGAGUACGCACAAAGUGGGCGGAAUUCGUGGUGUAGCGGUGAAAUGCUUAGAUAUCACGAAGAACUCCGAUUGCGAAGGCAGCUCACUGGAGCGCAACUGACGCUGAAGCUCGAAAGUGCGGGUAUCGAACAGGAUUAGAUACCCUGGUAGUCCGCACGGUAAACGAUGGAUGCCCGCUGUUGGUC
rnacentral:rRNA from 1 species